GAGAGGAACAGAUUCUCAAGGAACCGUGGCCAGUUAUUUAAAGUAUUAUCGGGUGUGACUCAUUGGUGUCAAGAUGACUAAACUUCGAUUUUUGCGGUUGUCCUAUGAGAAGCAGGACACAUUUCUAAAAACUUCUCAUUCUGUCAAUGGCUUGCUGUGUUAUCUCUCUCCACUUGUCUCUUUGAUGUCUUGAGAUUUGAAAGUGUUAUCUAUGAGUCUGAUCCGUAUUUUAACUACCCGACGACUCAGUUCCUGGUUGAGGAGGGAUUUUAUAAAUUCCAUAACUGGUUUGAUGACAGAGCCUGGUAUCCAUUGGGACAAAUUAUCGGAGGAACAAUAUAUCCAGGCCUAAUGAUCACAUCUGCUGCAAUCUACCAUGUGCUCCAUUUUUUUCACAUCACUAUUGACAUCUGGAAUAUCUCUGUGUUCCUUGCUCCUCUUUUCUCCUCAUUUACCACCAUUGUAACAUACUAUUUUACCAAAGAUCUCAAGGAUGCAGGGGCUGGGCUGCUUGCAGCUGCCAUGAUUGCUGUAGUUCCUGGAUAUAUUUCUCGAUGUAUAGCUGGAUCAUAUGAUAAUGAAGGGAUUGCCAUCUUUUGUAUGCUUUUCAUCUAUUACAUGUGGAUCAAGGCAGUAAAGACUGGUUCCAUCUAUUGGGCUGCCAAGUGUGCACUUGCAUAUUUCUACAUGGUCUCUCCAUGGGGAGGUUAAUGUGUUCCUGAUAAACUUGAUCCCUCUCCAUGUCCUGGUGCUUAUGUGAACAGGCAGUUUCUCCCAUCGCAUCUACGUGGCUGACUGCACUGUUUACUACCUGGGCACCAUUCUUUCCAUGAAGAUCUCCCUUGUGGGUUUUCAGCCGGUCCUUUCAUCAGAGCAUAUGGCAGCCUUUUGGAGUCUUUGGUCUCUGCCAAAUCCAUGCUUUUGUGAAUUACCUGCGUAGCAAGUUGAAUCCACAGCAAUUUGAAGUUCUUUUCCAAAGUGUUAUCUCUUUGGUAGGCUUUGUCCUACUGACUGUGGUAGCUCUCCUGAUGUUGACAGGAAAAAUAUCUCCCUGGAUGGGGCAUUUCUACUCACUUCUAGAUACUUCUUAUGCCAAGAACAACAUCCCUAUCAUUGCUUCUGUGUCUGAGCAUCAGCCCACAACCUGGUCAUCCUACUAUUUUGAUCUACAGCUCCUCGUCUUCAUGUUUCCAGUUGGCCUCUAUUACUGCUUUAGCAAUUUGUCUGAUGCCCGGAUUUUUAUCAUCAUGUAUGGUGUGACCAGCAUGUACUUUUCAGCUGUAAUGGUGUGUUUAAUGCUAGUUUUGGCACCCGUUAUGUGCAUUCUUUCUGGCAUUAGAGUUUCCCAGGUGCUUUCCACAUAUAUGAAGAAUCUGCACAUAAGUCACCCAGACAAGAAGAGCAAGUAGCAACAGGAUUCUACCUAUGCUAUUAAGAAUGAAGUGGCAAGUGGGAUGAUACUGGUCAUGGCUUUCUUUCUCAUCACUUACACUUUCCAUUCAACCUGGUGACGUGUAAGGCAUACUCUUCUCCCUCCAUUGUACUGUCUGCCCAUGGUGGAGACGUCAGUAGGAUCAUUUUUGAUGACUUCCGAGAAGCAUAUUACUGGCUUUGUCCUCUGCAAUACUGCAGAGGAUGCAAAAGUCAUGUCAUGGUGGGAUUAUGGCUACCAGAUUAUAGCUAUGGCAAAUCGGACAAUUUUAGUGGACAAUAAUACCCAUAUUUCUCGAGUAGGGCAGGCAAUGGUGUCCACAGAAGAAAAAGCCUAUGAGAUCAUGAGGGAACUUGAUGUCAGCUAUGUGCUAGUCAUUUUUGGAGGCCUUACUGGAUAUUCUUCUGAUGAUAUCAACAAGUUUCUUUGGAUGGUCCGGAUUGGAGGGAGCACAGAUACAGGCAAACACAGCAAGAAGAAUGACUACUAUACUCCAACUGGAGAAUUCCAUGUGGACGGAGAGGGGUCUCCAGUUCGGCUCAACUGCCUCAUGUACAAGAUGUGUUAUUACUGCUUUGGUCAGGUCUACACAAAAGCCAAGCAUCCACCAGGCUUUGACCAUGUUUGAAAUGCUGAGAUUGGGAAUAAAGAUUUUGAACUUGAUGUCUUGAAAGAAGCUUAUACCACAGAACAUUGGCUGGUGAGGAUAUAUAAGGUAAAGGAUAACCGAGGCUUGUCAAGGACAUAAAUGUCACAUCCAGUUCUGAUAUGCUUUGUACUGAGAAUGUCAUAUUUACG